CUUGUUUCCAACUACCUCAUCGAUACUUCAAGUAGUAAUCUUAAUCAUCUCAUAAAUGGAGGCACAUGUUGUAUGUGAUUAUUGUUUUUAUACCGUAUAGGUCCAAAUCUAAGAGACACCACUUUGGUAUAUUCAAUGGCCAAUUUUCCAAAUGCAAUUUCUCAAAAUUCUAUAUAUUAUCUUCUUUCCACAAGGAUAGGAUCCAUGGCUAAUCUGCCAUAAAAAAUUGGAUGGGGUCCCUGAUGCCAUAAUCCUUUAGUCAAAGCAAAUCAAAUCCCACAUCCAUAGCAUCAAGUCCAAUCUUUCUUUUUGGCAGGCCUUCCAGAUAUGAGAGUGACCAGUAAGUAUCUUCUCUUUUUCAACUAGAGCCUAGUCAUCCUCUUUUCUACCUUCUGGCAAACCUCCACCACUGCCACUUUCUUCAUAAUUUCUUCAUAUAUAGGUAUCUCCAACACCUUUCAUUACUUGAUUAUCCAAAGAAAAUUAAAAACACUUUAUGUCACUCAUGGAGAGAAGUGAUCACUCUAAUUUGUAUGCGAGUUCAUUGGCUGAGUCAUUGGAUUUUCCCUACACGGUUGGUAAAGCUAAGCAACCAUA
rnacentral:lncRNA from 1 species